CUACGGGUGGCACCAGUGAGGAAUAUUGCACAAUGGGGGGAACCCUGAUGCAGCAACGCCGCGUGGAGGAUGACGCAUUUCGGUGUGUAAACUCCUUUUAUAUGUCAAGAAAAUGACGGUAGCAUAUGAAUAAGCACCGGCUAACUCCGUGCCAGCAGCCGCGGUAAUACGGAGGGUGCAAGCGUUACUCGGAAUCACUGGGCGUAAAGGACGCGUAGGCGGGUGGGAAAGUCAGGUGUGAAAUCCUACAGCUUAACUGUAGAACUGCACUUGAAACUUCUAAUCUAGAGUAUGGGAGGGGGAGAUGGAAUUAGUGGUGUAGGGGUAAAAUCCGUAGAUAUCACUAGGAAUACCUAAAGCGAAGGCGAUCUCCUGGAACAUUACUGACGCUAAGGCGUGAAAGCGUGGGGAGCAAACAGGAUUAGAUACCCCCGUAGUC
rnacentral:rRNA from 1 species